UUCCGGUUGACCCUGCCGGACCUGACUGUUAUCGGAUUGAUACUAAGCCAUGCGAGUCUUUGCAGUAAUGCAAGGCGGACUGCUCAGUAACACGUAGUCAACUUAACCUAUGGAUGGGUAUAACCUCGGGAAACUGAGAAUAAUUCCCAAUAGAUCAUUUAUCCUGGAAUGGUUAGUGAUUGAAAUGAUUCGUCGCCAUAGGAUAGGACUGCGGCCUAUCAGCUUGUUGGUGAGGUAAAGGCCCACCAAGGCUAUUACAGGUACGGGCUCUGAGAGAAGAAGCCCGGAGAUGGGUACUGAGACACGGACCCAGGCCCUAUGGGGCGCAGCAGGCGAGAAAACUUUGCAAUGUGCGAAAGCACGACAAGGUUAAUCCGAGUGAUUUCUGCUAAAGAAAUCUUUUGCCAGUUCUAAAAAUACUGGUGAAUAAGGGGUGGGCAAGUUCUGGUGCCAGCAGCGCGGUA
rnacentral:rRNA from 1 species